UUGCUGCAUAGGUUUGAUAAUAAAAUCAUGGUAAAAAUUUAUCAUCCUAUAUCCCUCGGAGACAUACUUGUCCAGGGAUUUCAAGUUUUCAUUUGCUAAGUGUUACACUUCUUAAAUUGAACCUUCACUCCUAGGAGACAUACCUUUUAGUCGAGUCAUCCCCCUUGAUUCCUAUAAGACGUACUUUUUAGUCGAGUCAUUCCCCUGAUUCCUAUAAGAUGUACCUUUUAGUCGAGUCAUUUCCCGUUGACCCCAUAAGAUGUACCUUUUAGUUGAGUCAUCCUCCUUGACCCCUAGAAGACGUACCUUUUAGUCGAGUCAUUCCCCUGAUUCCUAUAAGACGUACCUUUUAGUAGAGUCAUUUCCCUGAUUUUUAUAAGAUGUACCUUUAAGUCGAGUCAUCCCCCCUUGACCUCUAGAAGACAUACCUUUUAGUCGAGUCGCUCCUUUGAUUCCUAUAAGACGUACUUUUUAGUCGAGUCAUUUUCCUUGACCCCUAAAAGACGUACCUUUUAGUCAAGUCAUUUUCCUUGAUUCCUAUAAGACGUACCUUUUAGUUGAGUAAUCCCCCCUUGACCCCUAAAAGACGUACCUUUUAGUCGAGUCGCUUAUUUGAUUCCUAUAAGACGUAUCUUUUAGUCGAGUCAUUCCCCCUUGACCCCUAUGAAACGUACCUUUUAGUCGAGUCGCUCCUUUGAUUCCUAUAAGACGUACCUUUUAGUCGAGUCAUUUCCCUUGACCCCUAGAAGACGUACCUUUUAGUCGAGUCAUCCCCCUUGAUUCCUAUAAGACGUGCUGUUUAGUCGAGUCAUUCCCCUGAUUCCUAUAAGACGUACCUUUUAGUUGAGUCAUUCUCCUUGAUUCUUAUAAUGAUGUGACUUUCACAAAAGUCCUUUGAUGAUAAACUGGGGAAAAAUUUAAUUCUUGUGUUUGAAACUUCACUUUUCUGGCAAAUGAAAUAUCUUUAUAAUAAUAUUUGUUUGGGGUAAUUUUCUUUUUAGUUUUAAUGUGAUUUCAGGAGCCCACCUGAAGAGCAGGACGAAUAAAUGAAAAGUCAAGCAACAUGGUGAAGAAGUUGAAAGUCAAGCAACCUGGUGAAAAGUUGAAAGUUAACACAUUGAUGCAAUAGUAAGUCAGGAGCUCGCCUGAAGAACAGGGUGAUGAAAUUACAAGUCAGGAACCCGUCUGAAGAACAGGUGAUGAAAUUGCAAGACAGAGCCCGCCUGAAGAACAGGGUGAUGAAAUGGCAAGUCAGGAUCCCGCCCGAAGCACCGGGCGAAUAAAUGGAAAGUUAAGCAAUAAGGUGAAGCAAUUGAAGACCAAGCAACAAGUGAUGAAAUUUCAAGUCAGGAGCCCGCCUGAAGAAUAAGGUGAUGAAACUUAAGUCAAGAGUCCAACAGAAGCUGUAUAGAUAGGAUUUUGUAAUUUCAUUUAUGUUUUAACUUGUAAUUUUCAUUUUAAUGUAAUGACAGAGCCGCGGAACAUAACCUCGAUGGAACCUCACUCGACUCUCCAACUCGGUAUAGUCCAUUUCCUUCCAAUCCUUUGAGAUAUUUGUCACUUGACUCCCUCAUAAAUUGAGUAGGUAGGGUGUCCUAAGUCGAGACUCAGUU
rnacentral:lncRNA from 1 species